rnacentral:rRNA from 1 species
GUAGGUGGCAAGCGUUGUCCGGAAUUAUUGGGCGUAAAGCGCGCGCAGGCGGUUCUUUAAGUCUGAUGUGAAAGCCCACGGGCUCAACCGUGGAGGGUCAUUGGAAACUGGAGAACUUGAGUACAGAAGAGGAAAGCGGAAUUCCACGUGUAGCGGUGAAAUGCGUAGAGAUGUGGAGGAACACCAGUGGCGAAGGCGGCUUUCUGGUCUGUAACUGACGCUGAGGCGCGAAAGCGUGGGGAGUAAACAGGAUUAGAUACCCUGGUAGUCCACGCCGUAAACGAUGAGUGCUAAGUGUUAGGGGGUUUCCGCCCCUUAGUGCUGCAGCUAACGCAUUAAGCACUCCGCCUGGGGAGUACGGCCGCAAAGGCUG